CCUCUCUCAGGAUCACACCUGGAGAGUUUCCAGUAUUCUACCAGUCUCGGCUACAGGAGGGAGAGUCAAGCAGAGGCGUACCCAUUCCAUUGCUAGCUUGGCCAGGGGUUAGAAAGUGGAAGGCAAUCUGCUACAAGU